CAUGUCUUUAAGAUUAUAAUUUAAAGUYUAAUYUGCUCCAUGAUAAAUUUAUUAAAUAGCUGCAGUAUAUUGACUGUACAAAGGUAGCAUAAUCAAUAGUUUUUUAAUUGAAAGCUGGAAUGAAGGAUUUAAUAAGGUAAAUAUUGUCUCAAUUUUAAUAGAAUUAUAAUUUUUUUUUUAGUAAAAAUACUAAAUUGAAUUUAAAAGACGAGAAGACCCUAUAGAUUUUAAUAUUUUUUGGUUUAAUUAAUUUAAAUAAAAAUUUUUUUUGGAUUAAGAAUUAUUUGGUUGGGGAAAUUAUUAAAUUAAUAAAAUUUUAAUUGUUUAAGAACAAAAAUUAUUGAUUAAUUGAUCUUAAGUUUUAGAAUAAAAGAAUAAAUUACCUUAGGGAUAACAGCGUAAUUUUUUUAAAGAGAUCAUAUUGAUAAAAAAGUUUGCGACCUCGAUGUUGAAUUAAGAUAAAAUUUUAAUGGAGAAGUUAAAAAUUUUUGGUCUGUUCGACCAUUAAAAUCUUACGUGA
rnacentral:rRNA from 1 species